AUGUGCUACCUUGAACUUCCCUUAGCCGUCAAGCGCCUCAAGCGAAUCCACUUCCAGUAUCUCGAGGAUAAAAUUGCAGGCAAGCUCCCUCCCUGGCAGGGAAGACAUGUAGCCUCUGCUGGCCGUGUGGUCCUUUUAGAAGUUGUCCUUAUCGCCAUUGCUAUCUAUCAUCUCACGCCUCUCGACAUACCGGUGGAGGUCCUCAAGAAAAUCGAUAGUAUUCGCCGUGCAUAUCUUUGGGCGGGCCCGGAUAAGGUAUCCGGAGGAAAAUGUAAGGUUAAAUGGGAGCUCGUUUGCAAGCCCAAGGACAAGGGCGGACUCGGAGUGCUUAAUUUGGAUAAGUUUGCUAAGGCUUUGCGGCUCCGAUGGCUAUGGUUCGAAUGGACUGACAAGACCAAGCCAUGGAUUGGCAUGGGGACGCCGUGCACGGAGGAUGAUCUCCACUUCUUUGCGGCUGCCACUAUGGUCACUAUUGGAAAUGGACGAACUACAAAAUUUUGGAACUCGUCAUGGCUCAACGGCUUACGCCCCCGUGACAUCACGCCGGACCUCUUUUCCCUCUCUCACAAGAACUCCCCGGUCCAGCAAGCCAUGACCAACGAUCUUUGGAUCACUUAUAUUGGUGGCACCAACGAUCUGUCCCUCGCACAUAUCGAGCAGUUUGCUGACCUUUGGGAAAGAGUAUCAUCAGUGGCCCUAGUGGAAGAGGUGGAAGAUUCGAUUAUUUGGAAGUUCACUAAGGAUGGGAUAUAUUAUGCUUCCUCGGCAUACAAGGCUCAAUUUGAAGGGCUAACAUCCUCUGAUCUUGUGCAGUCCAUGUGGAGGGCGUGGGCUCCCCCGAGGUGCAAUUUUUUUUGCUUGGCAAGUUCUUCAAAAUAG
rnacentral:rRNA from 1 species